rnacentral:misc_RNA from 1 species
CAGAGUUGUAAAACUCCAAACCCAUGUGAACAUACCUCGUGUUGCCUCGGCGGCGAGCGUAGCGCUCGAGAGGUGCCUACCCGGUACUUACCCUUGAGCUACCCUGCAGCUCCUACCCUGGAGCUGCACGGUACCUACCCUGGAGGGGCUUGCGCAUCCGCCGGAGGACCACUUAAACUCUUGUUUCUGUGUGGCACAUCUGAGUUAUUAUACUUAAUAAGUCA